rnacentral:rRNA from 1 species
AUGCAAGUCGAGCGGGGAGAUGUAGCUUGCUACAUUUCCUAGCGGCGGACGGGUGAGUAAUGCUUAGGAAUCUGCCUAUUAGUGGGGGACAACAUUCCGAAAGGAAUGCUAAUACCGCAUACGCCCUACGGGGGAAAGCAGGGGAUCUUCGGACCUUGCGCUAAUAGAUGAGCCUAAGUCAGAUUAGCUAGUUGGUGGGGUAAAGGCCUACCAAGGCGACGAUCUGUAGCGGGUCUGAGAGGAUGAUCCGCCACACUGGGACUGAGACACGGCCCAGACUCCUACGGGAGGCAGCAGUGGGGAAUAUUGGACAAUGGGCGCAAGCCUGAUCCAGCCAUGCCGCGUGUGUGAAGAAGGCCUUUUGGUUGUAAAGCACUUUAAGCGAGGAGGAGGCUACCUGGAUUAAUACUCUAGGAUAGUGGACGUUACUCGCAGAAUAAGCACCGGCUAACUCUGUGCCAGCAGCCGCGGUAAUACAGAGGGUGCGAGCGUUAAUCGGAUUUACUGGGCGUAAAGCGUGCGUAGGCGGCCUCUUAAGUCGGAUGUGAAAUCCCUGAGCUUAACUUAGGAAUUGCAUUCGAUACUGGGAAGCUAGAGUAUGGGAGAGGAUGGUAGAAUUUNAGGUGUAGCGGUGAAAUGCGUAGAGAUCUGGAGGAAUACCGAUGGCGAAGGCAGCCAUCUGGGCCUAAUACUGACGCUGAGGUACGAAAGCAUGGGGAGCAAACAGGAUUAGAUACCCUGGUAGUCCAUGCCGUAAACGAUGUCUACUAGCCGUUGGGGCCUUUGAGGCUUUAGUGGCGCAGCUAACGCGAUAAGUAGACCGCCUGGGGAGUACGGUCGCAAGACUAAACUCAAAUGAUUUGACGGGGGCCGCACCAGCGGUGGAGCAUGUNGUUUAA